rnacentral:rRNA from 1 species
CGCGUAGGCGGUGCGGUAAGUCACCUGUGAAAUCUCCUGGCUUAACUGGGAGCUUGCAGGCGAAACUGCCGUGCUGGAGUGUGGGAGAGGUGCGUGGAAUUCCCGGUGUAGCGGUGAAGUGCGUAGAUAUCGGGAGGAACACCUGUGGCGAAAGCGGCGCACUGGACCACAACUGACGCUGAGGCGCGAAAGCUAGGGGAGCAAACA